CACGUAGUUAGCCGUGGCUUUCUGGUUAGGUACCGUCAAGGUACCGCCCUAUUCGAACGGUACUUGUUCUUCCCUAACAACAGAGCUUUACGAUCCGAAAACCUUCAUCACUCACGCGGCGUUGCUCCGUCAGACUUUCGUCCGUUGCGGAAGAUUCCCUA
rnacentral:rRNA from 1 species